UACGGGGGGGGCAAGCGUUGUUCGGAAUUACUGGGCGUAAAGGGCCAGUAGGCGGCCAACUAAGUCGGAUGUGAAAUCCCCAGGCUCAACUUGGGAACUGCAUCCGAUACUGGAUGGCUUGAGUUUGGGAGAGGGAUGCGGAAUUCCAGGUGUAGCGGUGAAAUGCGUAGAUAUCUGGAGGAACACCGGUGGCGAAGGCGGCAUCCUGGACCAACACUGACACUGAGGAGCGAAAGCCAGGGGAGCAAACGGG
rnacentral:rRNA from 1 species